rnacentral:rRNA from 1 species
GAAGAACCUUACCUACCCUUGACAUGUAAGGAAUUUUCCAGAGAUGGAUUGGUGCUCGAAAGAGAACGUUAACACAGGUGCUGCAUGGCUGUUGUCAGCUCGUGUCGUGAGAUGUUGGGUUAAGUCCCGCAACGAGCGCAACCCUUGCCAUUAAUUGCCAUCAUUUAGUUGGGCACUUUAAUGGGACUGCCGGUGACAAACCGGAGGAAGGUGGGGAUGACGUCAAGUCCUCAUGGCCCUUAUGGGCAGGGCUUCACACGUAAUACAAUGGUCGGUACAGAGGGUCGCCAACCCGCGAGGGGGAGCCAAUCCCAGAAAGCCGAUCGUAGUCCGGAUUGUAGUCUGCAACUCGACUCCACGGAGUCGGCGUCGGUAGGA